rnacentral:rRNA from 1 species
GACGAACGCUGGCGGCGUGCUUAACACAUGCAAGUCGAACGGAAAGGCCCUGCUUUUGUUGGGUGCUCGAGUGGCGAACGGGUGAGUAACACGUGAGUAACCUGCCCUUGUCUUUGGGAUAACUUCAGGAAACUGGGGCUCAUACCGGAUAGGAGCUCCUGCUGCAUGGUGGGGGUUGGAAAGUGUCGGCGGUGGUGGAUGGACUCGCGGCUUAUCAGCUUGUUUGUGGGGUAGUUGCUUACCAAGGCUUUGACGGGUAGCCGGCCUGAGAGGGUGACCGGCCACAUUGGGACUGAGAGACGGACCAGACUGCUACGGGAGGCAGCAGUGGGGAAUAUGGCACAAUGGGCGGAAGCCUGAGGCAGCAACGCCGCGUGCGGGAUACCGGCCUUCGGGUUGUAAACAGCUGUCGAAUGUGACGAAGCGUGAGUGACGGUAAUGGGUAAAGAAGCACCGGCUAACUACGUG